UCUACUCUCUAUAAUUUCCUAUAAAAACUGGUUAUUAGAACAUUUUGAUUAGUAAGAGUUAGAUCAUAUAAUAAUGAAGGUGUGUAGUUUGGGUUUGAGGUUCUUCUGCAUUAUUGCUCUACUAAUUUUCUAUCCUUCUAUUGGAGAUGCUCGACCAUAUCAUUCAUUCCAAAGGGAUUUGAAUAGAUAUUGUCCGAGUAGGAGUAGGAGUAGUAGAGGACGUAAAGAUUGUACGCCUCCGCCAGCCACUCGCCCCAUUAUUUCCCCUAAAGGUCCAAUUCCAUAACAUCACCGUGUCUAUACAUAGGCAGAGAUCGAUGAUAUUUUGUACUUAACCAAACAGUCGAUCAUUGUAUUAAAUUUAUAAUAAAAAGAUAUAACGAAUAUACAUAAGUACAAGUGUGUAACAUGGACAUAUUUAUGACUUUGAUAAAAAAAUAUAUUUUGAUUUCAUAAAUAUGUUUAAGUGACAAAUUUUUCUGAUCU